rnacentral:rRNA from 1 species
UACGUAGGGGGCUAGCGUUGUCCGGAAUCAUUGGGCGUAAAGCGCGUGUAGGCGGUCCGGUAAGUCCGCUGUGAAAGUCGAGGGCUCAACCCUCGAAUGCCGGUGGAUACUGCUGGGCUAGAGUGCGGAAGAGGAGAGUGGAAUUCCUGGUGUAGCGGUGAAAUGCGCAGAUAUCAGGAGGAACACCGGUGGCGAAGGCGGGUCUCUGGGCCGAACUGACGCUGAGGAGCGAAAGCGUGGGGAGCGAACAGG